GUCCACGCCGUAAACGAUGGGUGCUAGAUGUCACGGGCUUUGACCCCCGUGGUAUCGAAGCUAACGCGUUAAGCACCCCGCCUGGGGAGUACGGCCGCAAGGCUAAAACUCAAAGGAAUUCACGGGGGCCCGCACAAGCGGUGGAGCAUGUGGUUUAAUUCGACGCAACGCGCAGAACCUUACCUGGGCUAGAAAGUGCAAGAAUCUGGUUGAAAAAUCGGGGUGCUCUUCGGAGAACUUGCAGUUAGGUGCUGCAUGGCUGUCGU
rnacentral:rRNA from 1 species